GGGGGCAACCCCUUGAGAGUGGCGACCGUGUGAGUAAUAUAUCGGAACGUGCCCAGUCGUGGGGGAUAACGUAGCGAAAGUUACGCUAAUACCGCAUACGAUCUACGGAUGAAAGCGGGGGACUCGCAAGAGCCUCGCGCGAUUGGAGCGGCCGAUAUCAGAUUAGGUAGUUGGUGGGGUAAAGGCUCACCAAGCCAACGAUCUGUAGCUGGUCUGAGAGGACGACCAGCCACACUGGAACUGAGACACGGUCCAGACUCCUACGGGAGGCAGCAGUGGGGAAUUUUGGACAAUGGACGCAAGUCUGAUCCAGCCAUUCCGCGUGCAGGAUGAAGGCCCUCGGGUUGUAAACUGCUUUUGUACGGAACGAAAAGGUUUCUAUUAAUACUAGGAGCUCAUGACGGUACCGUAAGAAUAAGCACCGGCUAACUACGUGCCAGCAGCCGCGGUAAUACGUAGGGUGCAAGCGUUAAUCGGAAUUACUGGGCGUAAAGCGUGCGCAGGCGGUUAUAUAAGACAGAUGUGAAAUCCCCGGGCUCAACCUGGGAACUGCAUUUGUGACUGUAUAGCUAGAGUACGGUAGAGGGGGAUGGAAUUCUGCGUGUAGCAGUGAAAUGCGUAGAUAUGCGGAGGAACACCGAUGGCGAAGGCAAUCCCCUGGACCUGUACUGACGCUCAUGCACGAAAGCGUGGGGAGCAAACAGGAUUAGAUACCCUGGUAGUCCACGCCCUAAACGAUGUCAACUGGCUGUUGGGUCUUCACUGACUCAGUAACGAAGCUAACGCGUGAAGUUGACCGCCUGGGGAGUACGGCCGCAAGGUUUGAAACUCAAGGAAUUGACGGGGACCCGCACAAGCG
rnacentral:rRNA from 1 species